UUGGAGGGCAAGUBUGGUGCCAGCAGCCGCGGUAAUUCCAGCUCCAAUAGCGUAUAUUAAAGUUGUUGCGGUUAAAAAGCUCGUAGUUGAAUCUGUGUGUCACGAUGUUGGUUCACCGCUCGCGGUGUUUAACUAGCAUGCCGUGAGACGUCCUACCGGUGGGCUUAGCUCUUCGGGGCGGUCCAACUAAUAUCCCAUCGCGGUGCUCUUCAUUGAGUGUCGAGGUGGGCCGGUACGUUUACUUUGAACAAAUUAGAGUGCUUAAAGCAGGCUAUCUUCGCCUGAAUACUGUGUGCAUGGAAUAAUGGAAUAGGACCUCGGUUCUAUUUUGUUGGUUUUCGGAACCCCGAGGUAAUGAUUAAUAGGGACAGAUGGGGGCAUUCGUAUUGCGACGUUAGAGGUGAAAUUCUUGGAUCGUCGCAAGACGGACAGAAGCGAAAGCAUUUGCCAAAAAUGUUUUCAUUAAUCAAGAACGAAAGUUAGAGGUUCGAAGGCGAUCAGAUACCGCCCUAGUUCUAACCAUAAACGAUGCCAGCUAGCGAUCCGCCGAAGUUCCUCCGAUGACUCGGCGGGCAGCUUCCGGGAAACCAAAGCUUUUGGGUUCCG
rnacentral:rRNA from 1 species